ensembl:lncRNA
AAGCAGAGGAAAAGCUUGCAUGUGCAGUGAUACUGUCUGGGGAACACCUCCGCGCUUUGCCCUGGGAUAGAACUUGCUCCAAAUAAGAGGCAUGUGCUACAACAGAGCAGGUUUCUCCCGAGCAUUGCCAGGAGAGGGCAGCAGUGGAAAGCUUUGUGUUUCAGCGUUUCUCCUUCCCCAGAGGGAUGCCACCACCUGCUCCCUGGAAGUGAGAGGAAUACUAAAGGAAAAACAGUUUUAUUCUGCCUUUACACAGCUACAGGACAGUGUACAAAUGGAUCCGCGGUUUAUUUUUCUUCAAGUCUUGCCCGAGUUCAGCCCAACGAAUGACUCCUGUGGCAUACACCGUCACUCCCACAGGCCUUUCGGUUCAUUGGCCUGGCAGCCCACAGCCGGAUCCCUCUCACGUGCCCACAGCCUCAGCUGGUGCCUGGUUACACACGUGCCGUAUGAAGAGGCACUCGGGGACAGAUGUCACAUGAGAAGCAUGCAUGGUGAGAAAGAAGCCUUGGUUGCAGCCCUGAAGGGCCUCUUGUAAGCGUGUGACCUGCCCAGCCCUGAAGGGCCUCUUGUAAGCGUGUGACCUGUGCCAGCUGAAGGCUUGGAAACCAUUACGGUCUGGACCUGAGCAUUUAUCAGACAAAAAGGACUCCAGAACAGGCACGUGGGACUCAUCUUUGUAAUGUAACACCAUCCAUUCGUAUGAGUAAAGCUAAAGGAAAACUCUUGGCAUAUCCAAUUCUGGGAGAUGGAAAGUCUGCCUGUUUCAAUGUGGCUUUUGGGGUUUGGCUAGAAGGGCUUUGGGAUGUUGAGGUGAUCCUAUUGCAAAUAGAACUCUUGGAGAAAAGGCUUUUGCAGUCUUCACAGGAGGGCUCACCCUUUCUUUUCCAUAAGGCUGUUCUUUGGCAGAUGCCGUCAGCGCAGAGUAUUCUACUCUUGGCACUGUUACCUGGAUGAUUUUAGCUGUCAGUUCAGCUUUGCAUACAGCUGGAUCUUGAGCCAGCAACCGACCCAUCGAGCUCUGUCAGAGACUUGAAUGUGGAAAAGAGCCGAGAAGGCCGGGUGUGGCACGCUUCAUGCUUUGUUGCACUCCUGCUCUAUUCCUCCAUCUGCACCAGGCAUGCUGCAAGGUGCUGCAGAACGGCGCUGGAGAAUAUUUCUCGGACUUGCACGAAAUAAAUAUUUGAAGUAGAGAAACUUGUCAUUUUUGCUGCUGAUCUCAGCUUAUGCUCCCGCAAACCCGGUAACGGUGGCAUUCGGUCAGCGUAGGCUUCUCUACAACCCGCUGCCACAUAGGCAGUGUAAACACACUCGGUGAGGUUGAAGGGGAGCGAGGCGCCCCUCUGCCCCUCGUGAAAUGUGAUUGGCAGAGAGCUCCGUCGAGGCCUUUCAUUGGCUGCUGGAUCACCG